CAGGCCCUCAACAGAGUUGCAUGGGUAUUGGAAACUGAGGGUCACUGAGAGCAAUGACUGAGGGUCGUGUGCUCAGCACUAGAGCAGACUUCACAGCCCAGGCCCGCUGUGCUGGGGUCCCCCACACACCUGCCCACGCCUGCUGCCCUCCUGUGGCUGGGAGCGCACCCUUCCCUCCUGUACUCUGCAGCCCCACGGUUCAGUCCCUUGCAUUGGAUUGGGCGGGAGGCUCCUCCCUAUCACCUCUCCACCCGGCUGCCCUUGUCAUUCUCUGCGUUAAACAUCCCUCCCCCAUCUCACAGGACAAGGGCUUGCGCCUCUGCCUGCCUGGCCUCCUCGCCUCCCCUGGCACAUUUCCUCAGGGAUGGGUCUGGACAGCUGUGGGAGGAGCCACCCGCUCAGGGCACUCUACCUCCCACUCCAGGCCAACGCCACAGGGGGCGGUGGGCACGUGCAGAUGGUGCAGAGGGCCAUGAAGGACCUGACCUACACCUCCCUGUGCUUUCCCGAGGCCAUCAAGGCCCGGGGCAUGGAGAGCAAAGAAGACAUCCCCUACUACUUCUACCGGGACGACGGGCUCCUGGUGUGGGAAGCCAUCAGGACGUUCACGGCCGAGGUGGUAGACAUCUACUACG
rnacentral:sRNA from 1 species